rnacentral:lncRNA from 1 species
AUCCAUCCCGUAGGUAAUUUCAGUUUGUUCUUUUCCAAAUCCCUAAUUUUCUUCAGUUGCAUUUCUAAUCACUUUCUGUUUCGUUUUUUCUUUUCAUUCUCUCAUUGGAGGUAAAAUUUUCAUACCUAAUUGAAGGAAUCACGCUCUCGCAUGACACAAUCAGGUGAGAGAGAUCCAAAAUAUUUUCACUUUCUUGCUUUUAUCCUCUCAUGAUUUCUGGUUUUUUCUCGCCUCAUAUAUUGUUCUCUUUCUCUCUGUUUUUAUCUUUCACAACAGGAAAUAAUGGUAGAAAGUUGGUAUGAGAGGUGAAAAAUUCUUGACUACAUAUACUUAAGGUAAACAUGUUUUUGGUGAAUAUAUGUUUGGUCUCCACUUUUAGCUCUGGUUCUGAAUAUACUAAUUGAACUUUUACUGUCUAUAUUUAUUAUUUUAAUUUUGAUUGUAACUGAUAUGUUGCUUUGUAGUUUAUCAAUUGGUAGAGUUUAUCAAUUGGUUUUGCUACACCAAUAACUAUUGUUAUACAUGAAUAAGUGAAGAGGAUUGGUUGCAUCCUCCAAAAAAAUAGGUUUUGAUAUUUUAUUGAUUACAAAUUAGUAGAUCUAAUGUUUAUUUGUUUAUCUUUUUGAUUAGUUUAUAUGUAUUGAGCACACUAUUAUUUAAUUGUGAGAUGCUAAUUUGAAUAGUUUGGGAUCAAAGACUACUUUCUUUUUUUUGUUUUGGUAAAUUAGUUUGGAUUAUUGGAGAAACCAGUUCCUAUUUUUCCUCAAGUUACCCACGUUGAUAGCAACCUCUUUUUAGAUUGAUUUCAAGUUAUUAACUAAUAUAAAAUAUCCUAUCAAUUGGUGUUUACUUCUUUUUAGUUACUAUUUUUUGUAUUUAUUCUUUUUAUAUCGAUUUUGGAAAAGAGGUUUUUGAAAAGAUUGUUGAUGACAGGGAUAUGACAAAGAUUGUUACCAUUAUUGCAUUCUCUUUGAUGAAAGNNNNAUUUCAAUUCUUGAAUUGGCUUUAAGUUUGUAAUUGUUUUGUCUAUUUUUUCUUUGAAAUCAGAAAUUAUUUACUCUAGCCAAUGUGGGUGACUAUGAGUUUGUCUAUUGAAAGAAUCUAAACAAUAUGUAGCUACUAAUUUGCAUGAGUUUGUCUAUUCAAAUUAGUAACUGUUGCUACUCAUAUGAAGCCCAUUUUAAUUUUUAAUUAGGAUAAUUUUCAUGAGUUUGUUUUAACUAUGAGUAAGUUUUAUGAACAUACUUAUUUCUUUUAGCUUUGUUAAACUUAGGCAUAUUACUUAUUGUGCACUUCAUGGAGAAAAGGAAUUAUUAACCUUUUUCUAUAUCAACAUUGUUGAAGGAUUUAGAACCAGUCUCUUUGAAUGCUUUUCAUUUUUGUUUUUAAAUAAUGCAAAUAUCUGAUCUAUUUCUUUUUUGGAUUUUCAAUUCAGCAGUUAACUUUUCAUUAUUAAUCUUUUUUGUGGUUAGAGCACAUUGGAUAGUGCAGUUGCUAGCUUUUUACCAAUAUUCUAUAGCCUUAUGUUCACUUUCAAUUUCAUUUGUAACAGAUGGUUAAGAAAUUUGUCUAAUCAUUUACAUUACCAAUUUUGAAUCCCAG